UGAUGGGGAGCGAAAUUUAGUAGCGAAGUAGCUGAUUUCACACUGUCAAGAAAAGUCUCUAUCGAGGUUAAAGGUACCCGUACCGCAAACCGACACAGGUGGGUGAGGAGAGUAUCCUAAGGCCAGCGAGAGAACUGUUGUUAAGGAACUCGGCAAAAUGACCCCGUAACUUAGGGAUAAGGGGUGCCACCAUCAGGUGGCCGCAGAGAAUAGGCCCAAGCGACUGUUUACCAAAAACAUAGGUUUCUGCUAAGUCGCAAGACGAUGUAUAGGAGCUGACGCCUGCCCGGUGCUGGAAGGUUAAGGGGAUCUGUUAGAGCAAUCGAAGCAGUGAACUUAAGCCCCAGUAAACGGCGGCCGUAACUAUAACGGUCCUAAGGUAGCGAAAUUCCUUGUCGGGUAAGUUCCGACCCGCACGAAAGGCGUAACGAUUUGGGCACUGUCUCAACAACAGACUCGGUGAAAUUGUAAUUCCGGUGAAGAUGCCGGAUACCUGCGACAGGACGGAAAGACCCCAUGGAGCUUUACUGUAGCUUGACAUUGGGUCUUGGUACUACAUGUACAGGAUAGGUGGGAGGCUUUGAAACCAGGACGCCAGUUUUGGCGGAGCCAUCCUUGGGAUACCACCCUUGUAGUACUGGGACUCUAACCAUAGGCCAUGAAUCUGGUCUUGGGACACUGUCAGGUGGGCAGUUUGACUGGGGCGGUCGCCUCCCAAAAGGUAACGGAGGCGCUCAAAGGUUCUCUCAGUACGGUCGGAAAUCGUACGUAGAGUGUAAAGGCAAAAGAGAGCUUGAUUGCAAGACAUACAGGUCGAGCAAGGAUGAAAAUCGGACUUAGUGAUCCGGUGGUUCUGCGUGGAAGGGCCAUCGCUCAACGGAUAAAAGCUACCCUGGGGAUAACAGGCUUAUCUCCCCCAAGAGUCCACAUCGACGGGGAGGUUUGGCACCUCGAUGUCGGCUCAUCACAUCCUGGGGCUGUAGUAGGUCCCAAGGGUUGGGCUGUUCGCCCAUUAAAGUGGUACGCGAGCUGGGUUCAGAACGUCGUGAGACAGUUCGGUCCCUAUCCGUCGCAGGCGUAGGAAAUUUGAGAAGACCUGUCCUUAGUACGAGAGGACCGGGAUGGACG
rnacentral:rRNA from 1 species